rnacentral:rRNA from 1 species
GACGAACCGUGCGAACGUUGCUCGGAAUCACUGGGCGUAAAGGGCGCGUAGGCGGCCGGCCAAGUCGGGGGUGAAAGCCUGUGGCUCAACCACAGAAUGGCCCUCGAUACUGGCUGGCUCGAGACCGGAAGAGGUUGGUGGAAUUGCGAGUGUAGAGGUGAAAUUCGUAGAUAUUCGCAAGAACACCGGUGGCGAAGGCGGCCAACUGGUCCGGAUCUGACGCUGAGGCGCGAAAGCGUGGGGAGCAAACAGG